rnacentral:rRNA from 1 species
ACAGCAGCCGCCACGGUAAUACGGAGGGAGCUAGCGUUGUUCGGAAUUACUGGGCGUAAAGCGCACGUAGGCGGCUUUGUAAGUUAGAGGUGAGAGCCUGGAGCUCAACUCCAGAAUUGCCUUUAAGACUGCAUCGCUUGAAUCCGGGAGAGGUGAGUGGAAUUCCGAGUGUAGAGGUGAAAUUCGUAGAUAUUCGGAAGAACACCAGUGGCGAAGGCGGCUCACUGGACGACUGUUGACGCUGAGGUGCGAAAGCGUGGGGAGCAAACAGGAUUAGAUACCCCUGUAGUCCCUGUCUCUUAUAC